rnacentral:lncRNA from 1 species
UCAUGGUCCUAAUCCUGGGCUCAGGCCCUGGGGGCUCCUCCUCCAGGCCAGGGCCUCUUUCAGGGGGGCCUGCCGCAGCUUCUGGGAAGCCAGCCUUCUUCCCAGACAGUAGGUCUGAGUCAGCAACAGGGCCAGAUGUUUUUGUCUGAGUUAACUUUCCAAGGCCUGUCAUGCUGGAGUGAAGCUCUGUCCUGGGGCACAGGGAUCGCCUCUGCCCCUUCAAGAAGGAGAAUUUGAGACCAGCAGUGUGGGACCCAGAGGAGGAAGAAGAGGAGGUGUUCUGACUAGCAUGGGCCAUGGGCUUGGGAAGUCUUCUGUCUCCCUGCUUGGUCUUCUCCACCUUGAUUUCAGAGGCUGGACCUAAAGGAAAAGCUGGGGACAGGCGGGGAGAAGAUGCUUGUCUUGGUCCAGGCCUGAGCUGGACCACAGUCUCUGGGUUUCCCAGAGGUCCUUGCAUCUUGGAGGUAGCUGGCUCUUCUGAGACACCUGCCCAGAGGCCAGAGGCAUAGUCCAGUGGCUCCUUAGGAACACUAAUGUAGGGCUGUCGCUCUGAGUUGUGGGAAAGCCCUUUAUGCUUGACUUUUCUCUCCAAUCCCAAAAUACAGGGCUCCUCCUCUGAGUUUGCUGGCUUUGCACAAUCCCAGUUUUGCAAGGAAGACCCCCCAUCAGGAUCUGAGAGAGCCAAUGUCCUUUGAGACAGAGGAAUCUCCCUAGUCCCACAUAGUUCCUUUAGUGCCCCCAAAGUACACCCACUGGAUGCCUCUACUCCCUCCCUGGGAGACUUUCCUCUAUUUUCUUGGGAAAAGUCCAGGAGAGCCACAUAGUCUCCCUCUAAGGCCUGGCUGAGCCCACUGUCCAUCUUGAAGGCCACCUCCCCAGGCUUGGCUUGCUCCACCUUGAUGAGUCCCGGAUACUUGCUCCUAGGUGUCCUACCCUUAUCCUUGACUGAAUUCUGGGCCAGAAGCACCUGGCUGCCUGAGGAGCUGGCCGGUGCAGCUCCUGGGAGCUGCUCAGAUCAAGUGCCUCCAGUGGAAGGGGAGUCCCAGGCAGGUGAAGGGACCAUCAUUGCCUGGGACCGACCAUCCACAAACUCUGGGCUGGUGAUCUUGGCCCAAGGCACAGGGGCAAUCCCAUUCUUUGAAGCCACCAGGCAGUUGUGCAAGGGUCUUCCCUCAAAGUCACUGUUGAUGGCCUCCAGCCACUCUUGAGUGAAAAGCAGAGGGUGGGAUGACUCGGGAACAGCCUUCUUGUCCACUGUACGGAGGUCCAAGGAGAGGCAUUUGAUCAUCAUGCUGACAGAUUGCUCCUCCCGGGGCUCCACUUGGAGGUAGAAGUCACCCUGGCGCAGUAAGAGGGGAUUGAGUGGAGCCGGUGGACCACAACCUCAUCCUGCAGGCAGAGUGGCCAGCCCUCAUGCAUGAAGAGGCGGUGGGUGUAGGGAGC